UACGUAGGGUGCAAGCGUUGUCCGGAAUUAUUGGGCGUAAAGAGCUCGUAGGCGGUUUGUCGCGUCGACUGUGAAAACCCGGGGCUCAACCCCGGGCCUGCAUUCGAUACGGGCAGACUAGAGUUCGGUAGGGGAGUCUGGAAUUCCUGGUGUAGCGGUGAAAUGCGCAGAUAUCAGGAGGAACACCGGUGGCGAAGGCGGGACUCUGGGCCGAUACUGACGCUGAGGAGCGAAAGCGUGGGGAGCAAACGGG
rnacentral:rRNA from 1 species